CUUCACCGAACCCAGCAACAGCGGACGAUCCGCCUCCCGAUCCUGCCCGUACGUGGCCAACAACGCCUGCGCCUC
rfam:Streptomyces bingchenggensis BCW-1, complete genome.